GGACGACAUACAAACUCAUAAUCUGGAUUUAAUAACCGACCCGAUGCAGCCUACGAGGAAGGGAAAUAGUGUCGCGUGUGAUACGACACCGGAUCUCACCUUGACGGGGAGCGGCACUAAAGCCACGUGGUGCAAUACAAACGAAGACUUAGUCAGCGAUCACAAAAUCAUAGAAGUGGUGGUAGAAGGAGGCCCGACAACCUCCCGAAAAAGGAGGGUGGAAGCUGUAAAUUGGGACUCUUUCAGGGCACUCAGGGGAGACCCGGCUCCCAUCUCUAAUAUUGCAGAGUGGAGCGAUGGCGUAGUGCGCACUGUUAAAGAGGCCACCGAAGUGGUGGAAACGGAGGGGGACAACGAAGCGGUAGACAGGAGAUUAGUUAAUCUCUGGAGGAAAAAGAAAAGGCUGGAGGAGCGACUUCGACAGAGGAGAUGGGAUCGAAAUAUCAGGAAACAGAUAGCGGCUUUAAAUAAGGACAUUGAAGAGCACGCCAUCACGCUCACGAAGCAAAAUUGGGGAAACGUAUGCGAUCAGAUGGAGAGGAAUAUGAGUACCGCGGGGACGUGGCGACUUCUUCGCCACCUCUUAGAUCCGGAUAGCACAAAGUCAGCGUCAAAACAACAGCUGGAAAGAAUGGCACAUCAGUUUGAUGGCACUAAGGAGGAACUCUUAGAAGAAGUUAGGAAUAGGUACAUCAAUCCCGCCGGACCUGAACCCCUCCCGGACUACGGAGGGGGAGAGAAUUCGGAAUUAGACGCCCCCAUCACACUGGCUGAGGUCAGGGCGGAGAUUAAUCGGCUACGGACUAAGUCAGCGGCAGGGCCGGACAGAGUGAGCAACAAAAUGCUCCGUAAUUUAGACGACAGCUCAAUCGCCAACCUCGCAACGUACAUGCAGGACCUCAUUUCAUUCUCAUUCCCAACCUCAUUUUCAUUCCCAAGCCGGGCAAAAAACUGGGCUUCGAGAACCUCAGGCCUAUAUCGCUCACCUCCUGCGUGGGUAAGCUUAUGGAGCACGUCGUUCUGACGCGGCUCAAUAGGUACAUGGAGGACAAUGGUCUGUAUCCGGACACCAUGAUCGGUUUUCGACCAAAGUUAUCGGCAUGCGACGUGAUGCUGCAGCUCAAAGACCAAACUAUAGACAAGCAAACGCGAGACACGAAAGUGAUCGUGGGGUUAGAUGUGGCAAAGGCAUUCGACAACGUGAAGCACGUGUCCAUCUUGGAGAAUUUGAACUCGCUCAAUGUCGGGAAGAGAGUGUACGAUUACAUCAAGGACUUUCUUACCAACAGGAAAGCCACUCUCAAGAUAGGGGAAGAAUCUAUAAAGAGCAUUGACCUGGGUAACGUGGGGACGCCGCAGGGCUCGGUCUUAUCACCUACCCUCUUCAACAUUGCCAUGUUGAAACUCCCCGAACGGUUGGGGGAAAUUGAGAAUCUAAACUUUACCAUAUACGCGGAUGACUUAACACUAUGGAUAAACAAGGGCAGUGAUGGGCAAAUUGAAAGCUCCCUGCAAAAUGCAAUUGACAUUAUCGAGGAAUACCUGAAACCCAAAGGACUUAAAUGUUCGGCCGAAAAGUCGGAAGUACUGUUCCUGAUGCCCCCCGGAAAACAGCGGCUUCACCAAAGGCGCGAAGCGGGCAUCCACCUGUACGUUAACGGCGCCGAGAUCCCCGCGGUCGACAGUAUCCGCGUCCUCGGGCUGAGGAUUCAGGCAAACCGGAAAAAUUAUGAAACGCUUGCUAGGUUAGAAGCCAGUUCAAAUCAAACGUGUCCUCUUAUCAGGCGAAUAGCGAACAGGCACGCUGGGAUGAAGGAGGCGAAUCUCCUGAGGCUAGCACAAGCCUUUGUAAUCAGUAGGAUAGUGUACGUGGCACCCUACCUCAAGCUCAGUUCUGUAGAACGGAACAAGCUCGAAAUCAUUAUUAGGAAAAGUGUCAAGGUCGCGCUCGGACUCCCCCCGAACACGCCCACCGGCAAACUUAUGCAGCUGGGUGUGUCGAACACUCUCGAGGAACUGAUUGAGGCUGCCGUUACCGCGCAGCACCAAAGGCUACUUGGAUCUAAAACAGGUAGGAAAAUUUUAGAGAAAUUAGGCUACGAGCCAAAACAUGAGCAAGUGCGCUCAGGCGACAUACCCAGACAGAUCAGGGACAGGAUAAAAAUACCUCCGCUACCCAGAAACAUGAACCCUGCCUUUCACGACGGCAGACGUAAAGACAGGGCAGAGGCAUUACAAGCUAGAUACACUUGUCGACAGGACGUCCUAUAUACGGACGCUGCGGAAUAUGCAAGCAAAGCGGCACACGCGGCCGUGGCGGUUAGAGAAGAUGGAACACCGGUGGCGUGCUGCACAGUCAGUGGCGUCGAGACGGUUGAAGCUGAGGAAGUAGCCAUAGCCUUGGCCCUCAGCCAAAGGGGGGUAAAUGUGGUCAUCAGCGACUCCAAAGACGCUGUGAGAAAUUACGAAUCAGGGAGGGUGACGGAGACUGCCAUCCGUAUAUUAAACAGGGAAGGAGGACCCAGGCAGCUUGUUCUGCUCGUUUGGGCACCAGCUCACCAGGGACUUAGAGGGAACGAGGAGGCUCAUUCGGUCGCCCGAGGUCUCACUUACCGGUCGACCCCCGGAAGCCCCCAAACCACCGAAACUAUAAUCAGAAGAGAGGAUAUGCGCGCAUACCAUGAAAUCAUAGCAUACUACAGACUAAAUCGCCAAAUCUACCCGGGAGCGGACAGAACGCUCAGUAAGAAAGAUGAGGUUAUGUGGAGGAAAUUGCAGACGGGGGUUUUUCGAAACCCCGUACUCUACAGCAAGUGGCAUCCAGGAGUGUACAGGUCAAAGUGCAGGUUCUGUGAUGAGGCAGCAAAUCUGGUUCACAUGGUGUGGACAUGUCCGGCUAAACAUGAUAGCUCGAGAACUCUAGAAUCCUGGGAGGCUUUGCUCCGCAGCCCAGACCACAACGUCCAGCGGGACAUCAUCGGUCAAGCCCUUGCUGCUGCUGCGUCUCAAGGCAUUCCGGCCGACGGCUAGGGGCGAAGGGGGAGAAGCAUUUCUCUUCUGACGUUCAUUGACUGGUGCUUUUAAUAAAGUUCUUCCUCCUCCUCCUCGUAUCGUUCACUUGGUGCGGUGGCGUUGGAAGGGGCUUGGCGGUGGCAUUGCGAAGGAAAAAUGGUACAUAUGCCGGAUGGUGCAUGCUAUUGCUCAUUUUGUUUCGGACGAAAUACCGACUGCAGAUUCUGCUGAUUGGUACUGUCUGCCAUGGCUGACCGUCUUCACUAUCUAAUAAACCAAGGAUACACGCGAAAUUUGAUUUAGAAACCAGCCCGAUACCGCUUGACAGGGCGACAAGACGGGAGCUUACUCCGCUCGCCUGACUGCCUGGAUCCAACGCCGCCUCCGUUCUUGUUCGUAGGGUUUAGAUAGAAAGACGCAGAAGGAUACAUCCUCCCUCAUCCCGACUUAGUUGUGGCACUUGUAUACGCAACAGUAUCGUCGGCGCCCUUUUGUUUUCCUUCGACUUUAAGGGCACGCAACGCAAUUUUCGUCCGCGGGGGAGGCUGCAUUGUGCACGUUCUGACCGCCAGGGCGGCGCUGCAGGCGCCGCGAAUACUCCAGCGCUGGUUCCCCAUGUAGUUCAAAUUUCUGCAUUGGGCGUUUCUGAAAUGUUUAUGUGUGUUAUGAUAUAUGUGCUUUCAUUCACGUGUUUCGUCGAACUUGACGCGGUCCCUUGUGCAUAUUUCCAAAUUUGACCAGCAGCCUCUGUAUGUAAAGAUGUUCGCGCAAACUCACGCGAUGCCUCUUUUUAUAGUCCCGUUGCACCUCGAAAGAGCUCCGCCAUUGCAAAGCAAUAAAUAAAGAAAAGAGAGAAAAAACUCCCAUAAUUCCAUUCAAGAAUUCCGCCCGCACGGAGUAAAAUUUCUACUCCCAUCAUACGGAGCAUAAUAAACUCCGAACCGGGGGGUCGCUAUAGGACAAGCAUUAUACUCCCACCUCGGAGUUAUUUCAGUUUACAGUGCUAUAGGACCCCGGCGUUCUCUGUUUGGCUUUCUGGCAUUGACUGCUACCAGCACAAUAAUGGCUGCCAGAUUGUGCUCAGCAUGUUGCUGCUUGCACAUCUGCUCCUCUGUAUUUAUAGACCCUACUGCAUACCCUGCCUUAUGCGGACAUUUAACGGCGCUUUCGCGGGCUCCAGCUGGGUGCUGUGGAUACUCGCGCCACUAUGAGCCCUUUCGAGAUACUAUUGGUCACUUCUGUCUCGGGCUAAAUGCAGCGGUCAGAAUCCGGGUGGUCUCGGUGACCUGGCCAUGUCCAUUGGCUCCUUUAAUACGCCAAGCCCCGAGUUAUGUUUCCUGGCGUGCCGCCGCUGCGGUUUUGGGUGCAGCACUCAUGCAAGCACGGUGCGGACCUAGGUGCGCGCCGGGUGAUUACAAACCUUGCCAACCGUUCUGUUCACGUAGUUUUGCUAAUUCGUUCCUUUAUUUCUUUCCGUCCUCCGUCUCUUCAUACCAUUCCUCUUGUCCGUUUUUCUUCAUUUUAGCGUUCUCCAUUACCAACAAUUCUGUUCUUUGUUCUCCUCCUCACAUUCCUCACUUUAGCAGCGGAUUUACUUUGGCACAGGAGCAGGCAUCUGCACGCCGCAUUGACAAUUGUUCCGUGUGUUACAUAUACUUUUGCUUCCUUCUACUCUGCCAUACGUCUACAUAUCUCGGAUGGAGGCUUAAGUGGGCCAUUAUAGCUCGCUCUUUGGGUUUUGGUGACGGUGGCUGCCCGACGCUUAGUGUUGACCGGGCAGUCAUUGUCACCACUUCUAAUCAGUGCUCUCAAGUCUAUUUUCAGCUUUUCACGUACCGGUUUUGGAGCCAACCGGCCGAUCCAGGGACAUGGCCGGCUUUUUCACCAUCCCUGUCAUCUUACCUCUUUCCCUACAAGGGCACUCCGCAUGCGGAUCAUCAUUAUUAACUUUUCACAUGAGAAAUCAAUGAACGCUCUACGCGAGGACCCUGUGCCCUCGCUGACCUCGCCUUGGGAUAUUAGCUGUUACCGUACCCAACCUUUCUUUUUCCAAUUGGCUUUUCUAUAAAAAAUUUGCGCUUCGGGCUAUUGGCCCCAUUUUAUUUAUUUUUGAUUGGUUUAAGCCUGUUAUUGCAUCAGUAGGAACGGGCUUUUCCCUCCAUUCAUUUAUUUUCUUUUAUAUGAGGGAGCAGACUUCGAAAAGGGGCGGUACACCCGCCACAUGGUAAUUGAAUAGCGCCAGCGCAAGCUCGGCGCAACAAACAAGGCGGAAACCUCAGCCCUAGAUAUUUUUCUUGUUUGAAGGUGCGGUUGUAGACCGCACGGGUAAGUGCCUCGCGAGCGCUGCAGUGACCACAGGACACACGGAGGCGGCCGAAGAAGGCGCAAUAGCCGUAUAGCACUGGCCACGGUGCCUAGCGCUGCGAUCGUGAUCAGCGACUCGCAGGCGGCAAUCCGUGGCUUCGCGCGCGGUCGCGUCUCGCGGGAAGCGGUCCGCAUACUCCAAAUUUGUGACGACGGCGGCUCGUCAUCGCCCUCGCAACCCCAAAAUUCUACAGUUUUCCUCCUCUGGACCCCGGCACACACCGAUGUCGCGCUCGCGGGCAACGAGGCGGCCCACGCCACGGCUCGAGGACUCACACGCCGAGCCGCCGCUGAUUAUGUGGCCGCCUCCGCCCCCGAGAGCGGGGCAUCGGAUAUGCCGGAUCGGGACACUACAACAGAAACACAGCAACAGGAAUCACAAUGGGCGUGGGGCGAUCGCCUGACCACGUUCAGAGAUCUCACCCAACACUACAGACUCCAAAGACGCACAUUCCCGCCACCACACGACAAGUUAAACAGGAAUGAGGCCGUAACUUUACGCUUGCUCCAGACGCACAGCUACCCUAGCCCCGCGGUCCUACAUCACUUCUACCCAGGUUUAUAUCCAACAGAUGCCUGUAAAGCUUGCGGACAGCGAGCAACGCUGCGACAUAUGCUAUGGGAAUGUGCCGGCAACCACGGUAAUGGGACCACAGCCGUUCGCGACGCGUCCGUAAUCGCGGCCGUUACCACAGUACGGGAAGCCUCGAGCUCGCUUCUCCCCGACGCCGCCCCAGCUGCGGGUCCCGCCGGGGACCUUCUCCAUCGGCGCCGCAGCCGCUGGGAGGCGGCUCUCAAAAGUUCAGAGUUGACAGACCAACUCUGGGCCGUCCGUGAAGCCAAAGAUGCCGCCCGAGUCCAAGGACUUGGAGCCGCCACCUGAGGCCACCACAACGAAAUUGCCGGCCAUUCAUUAAUAAAGUUUCUUCUCUCUCUCUCUUGAAGGGGCUGAGGUAAACGCGAGAGCGGGUUCCAAAAAGGACUUUUGUACGGCGUUUUAUAAGAGUGCGUGACCGGACUAAGGCGUCAAAAGCGCUGCCACGUCCAGUGCACCGGACGUGGGCGUUCCUGCGGCUAUGACGACUGGCCCGGGGCCCGCUGGUCGCGGUCCCGCCGCGUCUGCGGGUGCGGCGGCCGCGCUCUCGGGCGCUGGCGGCCCGGCGGGCGCGCCCGCGGGCCGCAUGGACUACGCGGCCGCGUUGCGGGCGGGCCUGGCGCAUGCUGUCGACGCGGCCCGCGCCGGACCCGGUGGUGCUGUGGCGGCGGGCGCCGAGGUGGCGGGGCCCGUCGCGCAGCACAAGCACGUCGCGUUCCUGACACCCGUGGCGACGACCCAGACGCCGGCUCGCGACGUGCUCCGGCUCCUCAAGACCAACGUGGACCCGACGGCCAAGGACAUUCGGGACGUCACCCUACGUCAAACGAGGAAAUCGCACGAUCAAUUAUGGCGGUCGGCUGCUUUUCACGUCCUGCACCCGAGAGCAGUGGGAGGGCGGCCUUCCCGACGGCGCGUGCAAGUACCGACGGGCACUGAUCCCAGAGGCACGGGCCGUGGGCCGUCGCCGCAGACUCCGUGACAAGCAGCGCCUUCACGACUUCUCCUUUGCUGUCAAUAAAGAUGUUUCUAUCAUCAUCCC